rnacentral:lncRNA from 1 species
UAUAAAGUAUAUAACUCUACUAUUAGUUAUUGAGCAAUACUGGUUAUACACUUUAUUGGGGAUGUAGAAUAUACAACCUAUCCAUUCAAAGAUGGGGUGAUGUGAUUAGUGGAUAACACUCCAUUCUUGGAUCAGUGGGGUGUAUUUUGUACACGUCCAUUGGAGUGUAAAAGAAACAUUUUCUUUAGUUAUGAGUUUGCCAACAAAUUUCUUUACUAAACUCGAUCUCUUUACCCUGUAUUUUGCCCUAGUAGAAUUUUAAGUCGAUGCACUUAGUCCCCCGCCAUCAAGAUUCUGUCAAUAGUUCAUUCAUUUUUUAUAAUUUAUGAUUCGAUACAUUAAAAUAUUUUAACAAUAGAAAAAUAUAUUAAUUAUUUUUUAAGAACAAGUAAGAGCAGUUUGAUCAUUUUGUCCUCGUUGUUAACGCCAUAAUUUUUAAAAAGUAUUUAUAAAAUUUUGGAAGGAUCAAAUAUAAAAAUUUUUAAAAGUCAGUAAAGAAAAGUAAAAUAUUUAUAUAAAAAAAUUAUACUUUAACUAUUUUAAAUUAUUAAAUAUUAUAUUGAAAUAUAAAUGUAGUUCAAAGUAAAAGUAAA